UUAUUUGAUUUUCUUCGGAACUGAAGAUUUGGUGAUUGAGUGGCGGACGGGUGAGUAACGCGUGGGUAACCUGCCCUGUACAGGGGGAUAACAGCCAGAAAUGACUGCUAAUACCGCAUAAGACCACAGCACCGCAUGGUGCAGGGGUAAAAACUCCGGUGGUACAGGAUGGACCCGCGUCUGAUUAGCUGGUUGGUGAGGUAGCGGCUCACCAAGGCGACGAUCAGUAGCCGGCUUGAGAGAGUGAACGGCCACAUUGGGACUGAGACACGGCCCAAACUCCUACGGGAGGCAGCAGUGGGGAAUAUUGCACAAUGGGGGAAACCCUGAUGCAGCGACGCCGCGUGAGUGAAGAAGUAUCUCGGUAUGUAAAGCUCUAUCAGCAGGGAAGAAAAUGACGGUACCUGACUAAGAAGCCCCGGCUAACUACGUGCCAGCAGCCGCGGUAAUACGUAGGGGGCAAGCGUUAUCCGGAAUUACUGGGUGUAAAGGGUGCGUAGGUGGUAUGGCAAGUCAGAAGUGAAAACCCAGGGCUUAACUCUGGGACUGCUUUUGAAACUGUCAGACUGGAGUGCAGGAGAGGUAAGCGGAAUUCCUAGUGUAGCGGUGAAAUGCGUAGAUAUUAGGAGGAACAUCAGUGGCGAAGGCGGCUUACUGGACUGAAACUGACACUGAGGCACGAAAGCGUGGGGAGCAAA
rnacentral:rRNA from 1 species